rnacentral:rRNA from 1 species
GACGAACGCUGGCGGCGUGCCUAAUACAUGCCAGUAGAACGCUGAAGGAGGAGCUUGCUUCUCUGGAUGAGUUGCGAACGGGUGAGUAACGCGUAGGUAACCUGCCUGGUAGCGGGGGAUAACUAUUGGAAACGAUAGCUAAUACCGCAUAAGAGUAGAUGUUGCAUGACAUUUGCUUAAAAGGUGCAAUUGCAUCACUACCAGAUGGACCUGCGUUGUAUUAGCUAGUUGGUGGGGUAACGGCUCACCAAGGCGACGAUACAUAGCCGACCUGAGAGGGGGGUCGGCCACACUGGGACUGUGACACGGCCCAGACUCCUACGGGAGGCAGCAGUAGGGAAUCUUCGGCAAUGGGCGGAAGUCUGACCGAGCAACGCCGCGUGAGUGAAGAAGGUUUUCGGAUCGUAAAGCUCUGUUGUAAGAGAAGAACGAGUGUGAGAGUGGAAAGUUCACACUGUGACGGUAUCUUACCAGAAAGGGACGGCUAACUACGUG